UACGGAGGGGGCUAGCGUUGUUCGGAAUUACUGGGCGUAAAGCGCACGUAGGCGGAUGUGCCAGUCAGGGGUGAAAUCCCGGAGCUCAACUUCGGAACUGCCCUUGAUACAGCACGUCUUGAGUCCGAGAGAGGUGGAUGGAAUUCCUAGUGUAGAGGUGAAAUUCGUAGAUAUUAGGAAGAACACCGGUGGCGAAGGCGGUCCACUGGCUCGGUACUGACGCUGAGGUGCGAAAGCGUGGGGAGCAAACAGG
rnacentral:rRNA from 1 species